UUUUCAUGCCACAAUAGGUACUGAAUAAUGAAAACUUGGGGUUUCUACAAAAUUCCUAAUGCAUACUUCUUUUCCCUGGCUGUAAAGAUCAGUAGUUAUCUUAGUUAAAGUAUGUGUCUUAAAGUUCCACAAAAACAUGCAGAAUUCUUCUACAAAUCAUAUUUGAAAUCCUUUUACUAUCUGGUCUUUGCAGACUAUUUUGGGCAGAGAGGCAACUCUUUGUCUCUUAUUUCUACUAAAAACAUUACUGUUACGCAGUUGUGUGAGUUGUCCUGAAGUUCAUGUGCAGAUUUGGCUGAUUUUAUUACUAAUUGCUUUAAAUGGCAAUUUAAUACCUGGGACCUGAGCCCUAAAAUUUUAAAAUAAUAUAUUUUGCUAUCCUAAUCAUUGACAGAAAAAUAAAUGCUGUUUUGAUAAGUGCCACUAUCUGUUUUUAUUCAAAUUUUGAGAAUGGAAAUUAUCUCUGAUACAGAAGAAUUUGUGGAGAUGGAGUUAUUGCCCUAACAAGGGAAAGAAGCACCUGUCCUAGACAUAUCUCUGUUAUUGGGUUUUACCAGUGUGGCAUGCCAGUGCAGAUCCAUCCUCCGAGAUUCUGCAGUGCAGGCAUGGCUGUUGUGAAUAUAAUGCCCAGAGGCUGUGAAGUUCAGGUGAAAUGCACAAGCAGACUAUGAUUUUCCUGCUACAUGGAUUUAUAAGCAGAGCUGCACAGGGUAGCAGUAGCAAGGGCAUAUAUUCUUGACAGAGGCAUCAGAGAGUGAAUGUCGUGCAUACGAUACAUAUCUUACGUAGAGUGCAUACUUGUGAGAAGAAAUGAGUUCAAACUGAAGUGCACCCAGAACUGAAAUUUGUUCAACUAGAUGAUCUUUAAAGUGUCUCAGAAAAUGACAAGUGAAAGAACCAAAGUAUCACUGGACAAUCUGGUGAGCUAUGCUUCUGGCAGGAAGAGCUGAAGUGGCAAGACUGUGUGAUCAAACAUCACAAAGGUUUUGCAAUAGGAAGCUGAAUAGCGGCAGGCUCCCUGAGGCCUGCCUGAAGACCUCAGCAUUCUCUAAACUGAGAGCCACAGUAUUCCACACAUGGAGGAGCAGCAGAGCUAAAUGGUUGGAAUAGUGUUGAUGACCAAGCCCAACACCUGGAAUUGCCAAGCACACCAGUCAUCCAGAGAAAAAGGCUACUUUUUCUAGAUAAAAUCUGCUCCAGAG
rnacentral:lncRNA from 1 species